rnacentral:lncRNA from 10 species
GGCUCUUUUUGCCUGCCGCCAUCCACGUAAGGUAUGAUUUGCCCCUCCUUGCCUUCUGCCAUGAUUGUGAGGCCUCCCCAGCCACGUGAAACUAAGGAGAGUGCAUGAGAUUAUAUAAAGACUCAGAGAAGAGAUACAGCUCCUCCCGCACCAGAGAAAUGCAGCUCCGUGAGCCCCGAUGGAGCCAGCAUGCUGCUGGGUGCUGAGGAGCAGGCAGAGGCACCCAGGAUGGCGGUCCCCAAGGAGAACGGAGGCACAGAACAACGCAUGAGGGGCCACAUGACUUAGGGCCGGGAUCGGUCACUCAGCCAGCAAAAACACUGGAAGAAAACAAAACAACUUCAGACUCUAUGCUGCAUUUCCGUAAUAUAUCUGCCCAAAGACUGGACAACAAAGGUAAAGGAGGCUGAUGAGGAAACGAAAGGAUCCGUGGUUCUUGGCUCGCUGGGUGGCUCAUCAACAAAGCCCCAGCAUCACUCCUGCAGAUGCCCUAGCCUGGCCUGGGCUGGGAUGGGCAAAAUUCACCAUGGGACUCUUGUUCAAGAGAGGGAGAUCAAAGCCAGAAACACUUACCCAGAAUGGCCAUGCAGACUAAAAUUCCAAUUCUAAAAAUACUUUUAAAAUGUAACGUACAACAAAGGAAAGCUGGAAAAAUAUUUAAAAAAGGAUGAAAGGGCAAGAAAAAUUCAACCCACGACCUCAAGGCGAUUAUAAUCUGUGUUCUGCUGCUUCCCAGAGCCGCUUCAGUCUUCAGCUCAGAGUCUACCAGACACUAAAAUGCAACUGAACACUCAGUUCAUACUUGUUCUUCUAAUUAGCUGCCUCUUCCAUUUGAUUAAUAUUGCCUCCUAAUUUAAUUGUAAAUUGUAUUUCUGGUUUAUAUUUCGCUUCUCCCUCCUGUUGUACCUGGUGACCAUCUUCAUUAAUCAUAUUGUAGCUUUUUAAUGAAUCUCAUAUGCCAAUUUAUGGUGAACAAGACUUGAUAUGAAGGCAUCUUCAUCAAAUCAUUCAUAAUCUUGUAACUAUUGGUUUAUUUUCUGUAACGACCUAUAAAUGUACACCAAAAAAAUGAAAGAUUCCCCCUAAAAUGUAAUGGGACAGAACUUUGUUUACGUAGAUUUCUGAGGAUGGGUUGAGACGCCAAAUUCCGCUUGUGUUUGGAAUUUCUAUUUCACUGGGCUUAGUGAGGGUGCCCAUGUUUUGCAAUCCUGUGCUCUAGAAUCUAUCAUAAACAGAUUCUUCUAAUUGUUUGACAUUAAACUGCAAAUUUGUGUUUUUGUGUCUGCUCAAAUAUAAAAUGUCUUUGGGAA